GAUGAAGAACGCAGCGAAAUGCGAUACGUAAUGUGAAUUGCAGAAUUCAGUGAAUCAUCGAGUCUUUGAACGCACAUUGCGCCCUCUGGUAUUCCGGGGGGCAUGCCUGUUCGAGCGUCAUUAUAACCACUCAAGCUCUCGCUUGGUAUUGGAGUUCGCGAUCUCGCGGCUCCUAAAAUCAGUGGCGGUGCCUGUCGGCUCUACGCGUAGUAAUACUCCUCGCGAUUGAGUCCGGUAGGUUUACUUGCCAGCAACCCCCAAUUUUUACAGGUUGACCUCGGAUCAGGUAGGGAUACCCGCUGAACUUAAGCAUAUCAAUAAGCGGAGGA
rnacentral:misc_RNA from 1 species